rnacentral:misc_RNA from 1 species
AACGCAUAUUGCACUCUUUGGCAUUCCGAAGAGUAUGUCUGUUUCAGUAUCAAAAGCAUCUCGAGCUCUACACCUUGUGUGUAGAGAGUCGGUCAUGGCUAUCGUAGAUUUAUCUACUUGGCUUAAAUUCAAUCGUGGCCAGUAUCUCAAAGAUAGAGGCGUCAUAGUUGGCUCUUCGAGUUCAUCUUUCGCUUUCUAUUGAGUAAUGGUCACGUAAAACUCUCUUUCUCAUACUUGAUCUGAAAUCAGGCAAGACUACCCGCUGAACUUAA